GUUAAGCUGCACUAAUUUUUCGGGCGCUAGGACCCAGGUGUUGAACAGCAACAAUGUGUAUCACUACCUGCUGUAAACAUGGUUACUAGUGUCUAGUGCACACAGGUUAGCAGUAGAAAGGAAGAAACCGCUUUUACUAAGCAUUUACUGUAUGUGUUCCUUUUGUUAAAAUAUUUGGAAAUGUCUGCUACUUGCUUAAAAUAUCCAAACACAUCCAGGUUUUACGGUUGGUUUGAACUGAGGAUGUUAUCAGCCGCUCUUGGGUUCCCUAGCUGUCUCCUCAUUGAUUGUCUGCCAUCAGAGCUGGUUAAGGGAGAGCUGGGCCUCCGCUCCCAGGACCUGCAGAGACUAAUAGAUCAGGACUGUUUCACUGCUGCUCUGAAUUUCUCCUAUAAUAUGAAAAGUGGGAUCCACAAUGUGAAAACACUCAAGAAGUGCAUCAAUCUGCUGGAUUGCAAGAGUCUUAGCUUUACGGAGAUUAAAGAGGCAAAAUUGGCUUUCUCGGUUUACGAGAGCUUGGAUCAAAAAGGUAUGAAGCUGAGCCAGCGGACGUUGCUGAGAGCAUUCAAGAUGUGCGGACGAGCGAUCGCUCCACUGAAGCUCGCACACAGAAUUAAGCACCUGAGGGCUGGCUUUGCUGAAGAAGGACGACUGCAGCUCUAUGAGUUCCUUGACCUUCUGCCCCUCUGUGAGCCCCAGGAUAAUGUUCUCAUCCGGGAUAGCUGGGCUGGGUCGACGGAGAUGAUAAAAGGAAACACGUACAAGCUGGAUAAUGACUCUUCCCUCCUGGGGCCUGAGGACCAUAGAGUGGGUCAGCAUCUGAACCAGUGCUUCUUGAAGGAAGAGUGGGAUUAUGGGAUAAUUUCCACAGAGAGUCGCAAACUGACAGAACCUUCAUUGCUGCCCUCUUUCUGGCUGCAGCAGGAGUCUUUGGUGGGUGCGCAAAACCAGACUUGUACACAAACACAGAGUUCUCAAGAGGCCUACUCCAUGCAGAACCCUUCGAGGGUCCCGUUGAAAGGCAGCGCAGCGAAAGCUGGUUUGGAGGACUCUGAGACAUGGACUUGGGUAGUCUCUGUGCCCCAGCUGAAGAGUGGCCACUAUACCCCAACCAAGAUUGAACCCAUUCUCACAGAGUAUGAGCUGGCCAAGACAGAGAGAAUGAGGUCAGCUCUCCAGUAUGACAUGGACACACUGGAGGAAAGGAGCCAGUGGGAGCUGCAGUGGAAGAUGGGUCACUACCUCCCUGGCCGUGAAGCUCCUGCUGCCGAGAGACCCCGAUCAGGGGCUGUGAGUGCAGUCCAACCAGUGAAGGAGAGACGUGCACCUGUUCAAGAUGUGUUUGACAGGCUGUACUCUGGAGUGAAAAGGGGAACAUCUGCAUGCCGGCAAGCAAGGUGCACUGCCCUCACCCUGGGAAAAAGGACUGUACCGCCUUCUACCACAGCUGUCACUCCAAUUAGACUUACCCGCCAGCUGAAAAACAAAAAGAAGUUCUGAAAACUGCUUCCUGAAAGUGCUGUGUGUAAAACAGCCAUAUGGGCAUGUUAAACGCCCCCAAUAGUCAUGUUUGAGCAAGCAACAAGAAACAACUGGAGAAUUUAUUUGAUGACAGACAUGUCUUCUAGUAUGGUGUGGACUGAAAAUGAGAUAUUUAUCUCAAAAUAUUUUAAAGUUGAUUUUUUUUUUCCCUCAGGUUUGCCUCUAUUCAUUCAAAUUCUUAUGUUUUACAAACAAAUCAACCUUUUGAAGUAUGGGUUGAAAAGUUUGGAAACCUAGAGAAGGUCAGUUCCCCUUGGUCUACAGAGACCCCCGUUCUCUGUCCUGGAUAUUGUGAAGUCUAAACUUGGAAUAGGUAAUCUGUGCCACCAUCAUCCAUUAUACAGUAGCAUGCUCCCACCCCCACAGUGUAAAUAACAUACUGUAUAAAAAGAAAUAAAAUCUGAAAUCCUCCCGUUCAGGUAGCAGUGGGCUUCCCUGAAAUUAGAAAGUCCAUGAUGAUCAGUCAACCAUACUACAGGCUCAUAAACCAGCCAUGUGAGGCAGAUCUUCUCCCGUGCCUAAAAUAAAGCCCUGAAUCAUGGAUACCACCAGACUGCAGUUCUCCUGUGGUUUAGUAUGGGUAACAUUUGUGUAACCGCUGGAAUUUACAUUUCAACAAAUCGGAUUGACAGAAUGGUGCUUUACUGUAAAUCAGUAAAUGAUUAAUGAAAUGAAAGAUUUUGAAGACUGCGUGUGAGCUAAAAUGUGAUAGAUUUUGACAGGUUUCUGUAAUCCAUUCGGAAAACUGCUGUCAUUUGCGUGGUAUGGCAUUGAUAUAAUGGCAGCAAAGCUAAAGAAGAUAUUCUGCAACUAACUGAAACAGUUCACAAUAGAUUUGUGAAAUAAUACAUGCGCUUUAAUCUUGAUUUGAAAAGGGGUUAUAAAACAUCAAAUAAAAAGAGCGUAAAAAGCAUAUGUUGUGUAGGUUAAGCCCAUGGGCACACUUUGGGUGUCAGCGAUGAUAUGUGUUCAGAACUGGGGGCGCCUCUCUUUUGUCUGUAGAUGCUCUUUCCUGGAUGAAUUUCAGGAGGUCUCAAGAGAACUGGGGUUAGAAAUGAGAACAUCUUGGCAGCUCCACAGUACAGUGUUCAUAUAUAUAUAACAUAUAAGGGACCUAGACUUAUUUUUCUCGCAAUUGUUUUCAUUUCUUGCCAAACAAGUCAGAUAAACUUAACUUAAGUCGCAGUGGCUGAGAUAAAUCAUUGUAAUACAGCAGAGCAUCGAUUAUCCAGUGGCCUGAGGGGAAGGGGUUGCCGGAUUUUCAAAAAUGCCACAUAAUCCCAUCAAAGUUUCUAUAGUAACUUGUUUUUGAACAUUCUUUCCUUUUGGAUAUUGUGUACUGUAUAUGCAUUUAAUAUUUCGAAUUUAAAAACGCAAAUAGACUACAUACAAAACACAUUAAUUUGCUUAAUGCAAAGUACAAUGCAUUACCAUUUAGUACAACACCUUAUAGAUGAAAACUAAAAUGUGGUUUGUAAAUACUUUAUACUGUAUUUUCACCAGUUUGGCCUGUAAUCAGCAGAAAAUGUUGGAAGCAGGAUUAUAAAAUAAAUAAUAAGAGUAUUCUGUAUGUAAUUAAUCAGAAUUCACUCAAUUUACAAUGUAAAAUGAAUUCUGCAUGGUACAGUAUGUUGUAAUUUCAGGAUAUUCAAAACAAUCUUGCUAUGCCCUAACCCUUCACUCAAAUCACUGAUGCAUGUAGAGCUUUUCAGACCUACUGUACAAUAAUACUAAUACUUGCUGAUCAAUGAAACUUUUUUUAUACAUGUGGGUCAUCUCAGGUGAAAUUAAAAUCUUUCUUAUGGGUUCUUUUCCAUGCAAUUUGCUCCUGCUGUGAGAUCUGGUUCGUAACUGACAAGUGAAAGCAUGAGGCAUUUUUUCCCAACUUUCUUUUUUAAUUCCCAAAUGAGGGAAAAAUCAACAACUGUACAAUUAGCUAAACAGAAAAUCUAAAAUUAUGUUCAUCUGAUAGCCUUUUGAUGAUUGCUCAUUGUUAUUCAAAAUGCUCAGCAAAGUUAAGUUGACCUUACAGGUGAUAGUUUCUCUCUGGAUAGGUAAUUAAUUUAAUUGCUUUAUGUUAUUUAUAGAAAUACCAUGCUGCAUGAAGAAUUGAAAUUUGUUGAUGGCAUGAUAAACUACCUAAACGAAUGUUUCUGAAAUAAAAUCCUGUUGCAG
ensembl:lincRNA